GUCAGAAGCAUAGAACCCUCCACAUUUUAAAUAUGAUCUCAAAAAUAUUUUUCAAGUAUUUGAAAAUAGUUUUUCCACAUAUUUUUUUCCAUGCUAUCAAAGUGUCAUUGGCAACAUGAAACCUCUUUUGAAAAUAUUAUUCUACAAAAGAAUUAUAGUGCUUCAAUUCUCAUUGACAAUCUUUACACAAUUUCAAAGUUCAUUCCAUA
rnacentral:lncRNA from 1 species